AUCCCAGACCAAUAACAGCAACAUCCCAGGUGGGGCCGGUAUCUGUGUUUAUAAAGCUGCACAAGCAGGGAGGGGGCAGGCCCAGCAGCUCUGACCACAGGCUCAGCCCUCUGCUAGGUUAUGAAAUGGGCCCCAGUCGCUUCCUCCUGGGAGCCUUGUCCACACGGCCCUUAGCCCCAGCCUUCAGGCGUCACUUUAGGACCCGCAACCCCUGCCCACCAGGGAGGCGUCCCUGCUCAGAGCUCUGUGUGCCAGGUCUUUUCCUGUCUGCGCUCUCAUAAGGCACGUUUGAGCAUCGGAAUGAGGAAGUUUGCGUUUAUUUGGACCCUGGCCACCAACCUCUCCUGGCAAUGCCCCUUCCAUCUCUUCAGUGCCCUGCUGUGACACUCCACCUGUGGGAGAGUCUCUGCUCUAUUUUGAAGUUGCUCACUACUCCUGGCAUGUGGGAGACACCACGGGACCACAGAAGAAGGACCAGUCCCAACCCUGGCCACAUGCUCCCCAAACACACAGCCCAAGGGGCUGCAGCUCUGUGUCCUGACGUUACCGUCCUCUCUGGUUAUGCCCUCCUUUUAAAAUGUGGGAAAUGAGCAGUCAGUCUGCCGAAACACAGGGAGGAAGGGUCAUCUUGGUUUGGGUCUCCUUAAGAUGGGGUGGGGGCCAACCCAAGCUGGCCUUAAUUUCCAGGGGAGGAAAAACUGGUGAAGGUUCUCUCCUCCACUAGAAAACCAAUCCCAUGAGAACAAGGGCCUUGCUGUCCGCACUCACCACUCUAUCCACCCCUGGCAGUCUCUGGCACUCAGUAGGCACUCAAUAAACAGUACCUAUCAUCACCGAUUAUAAUCAGUCCCUAACAGACUCCCCAGAGCAAUAAAAACGAAUGUGACUUACAAAUCAUUCUACACACAAAAUUUUAGACACACGGCCAAUAUUAAAGUGAAACACAGCUGUUACAAACAGGCAGGAAGGAGACCUCUCCAGAUUACAGACCACCUGUGUGAAACCCAUUUUGACCACUUUAGGAGGAGCUGAGAAGACAGGGGAGGAAAUGAGGGGUUUUAGAGUGAUUGGACCAAACGUCCCCCCAAAUAAGAGCCCAUUUAUUCACUAGAGUCAGCUCCCAUCUUGAGAUGCCAGCUGGCAGUUUUGUCAGAUAAACCACCUUCUCCUCUUAUGUACAAACUCCACAUUUGACUUCUGCUUGAGAUACGAGCUCUUCAAGGACUGGCUUCACUCAUUCUAAAAACCUGAGCUCCUUUGGUGUAUUUCCUCCAGUAUAUUUUUCCUGCCUCGGCAGCAGGAAGGGCACUUUC
rnacentral:lncRNA from 1 species